GAUGAACGCUAGCUACAGGCUUAACACAUGCAAGUCGAGGGGAAACGACAUUGAAGCUUGCUUCGAUGGUCGUCGACCGGCGCACGGGUGAGUAACGCGUAUCCAACCUGCCUCUGACCAAGGGAUAACCCGUCGAAAGUCGGCCUAAUACCUUAUGCAGUCGUCGGAAGUCAUCUGAUGACGACGAAAGAUUUCAUCGGUGAGAGAUGGGGAUGCGUCUGAUUAGCUUGUUGGCGGGGUAACGGCCCACCAAGGCAACGAUCAGUAGGGGUUCUGAGAGGAAGGUCCCCCACAUUGGAACUGAGACACGGUCCAAACUCCUACGGGAGGCAGCAGUGAGGAAUAUUGGUCAAUGGGCGAGAGCCUGAACCAGCCAAGUAGCGUGCAGGAUGACGGCCCUAUGGGUUGUAAACUGCUUUUAUGCGGGGAUAAAGUGAGGGACGUGUCCUUCAUUGCAGGUACCGCAUGAAUAAGGACCGGCUAAUUCCGU
rnacentral:rRNA from 1 species